AUUCUUGAUCAUCCAGGCUGCCUCGCUGAAUCCUCCACGAAGGGGAGAGGGCUCACCUGACUUCGGCUUCAAAGCUUAAUGUUUGUCAGCUUCUCCAUAAAUCUUCAUAAGUAGACAAUGCUGAUUCCUAACAAACCUCCUGCUUACAGCCAGAGACUGGCGACAACUCUCCCAACUCGAGCUGCGUUGGCAGCCAGUGGUGGCCAACACAGCUCCCAGCUACCUCCGCCCUCCCACCAAGGGGAGGAGGACGGCGGCCACCCUGAGGAAUUUGAGCUUCUGAAAUCAAUCGCUCUUCUCAGUGGCCCAGCAUCUGCUUCGGUGACUGCCCUCACCCUGGCACAGGGACAUCGGCUUCCCGCUGGGCCUCGCUGAAGCCAAGAGCUGGCACAGUAAGACUCCCCUUUGUUUAUGGCGUGGGCCACUUGGGUGUGAGAUGUUUCCUCUCCUCUUUCCUGCAACACUCAAUUGUAUUUGGGUUAAACAACAAAUUCAUGGUCUGUGGCUGGGUUGAGAAGGCAACUGUCUCAAGCCUGGAAUACAAACAAACAAACAAGACCAAAAUCAACAAAGAAAAAUCAAGUUGCUGUAUGUUUGAAAAAAGCAAAGCUGGUUUUAGGAUAAGGAAACUCAUCUUCCCGAAUUCCUGCAUCCUUCAUUUUAUGAGACCAUUUUCUUGACAACGUUUCUUUGUCUUUUACUCCCAUCAAAUCCACAUUUCUCUCCUUUAGGGGAACCCUACCAGGACAUGUAAAUCAAGAAUAGUUGCAUUUAACGUUCCCAGGCUGCCUUGGAUACAUGAAAAGGUAAAGAACAGGGCUGCCUUCCUAGGAAUAGUGGAGAGGACAGGAGAGGGACGCAUGGAGGAACAAUGGAUGCAGUCAUUUAGAAAGUAGAAUUUUGUACCUACCAACCACCAACCGAGCUUGGAGACUUUCCAGGGAUUCUGUUGGGCAAGUUGGCCUUUCUGUUGAAGUAGCCUCUUGGGCUGUCUGGGCUGAUUAUUCCCCACACUGUUUUGUUUGUCAGUAGGUUCCCAAAAAUGUGUUGAAAUAUCUUGCUUGAUAAUGAUUGUCUUCUGUAUUUGUGGAUUUAUUCCUUUAUACUCUAUUGGAGUCUCGGAAGAGGAGAAACAAUUACUUGCUCUCUUCUGACAUCUCGAACAGGAAAUUACUGAAUCCCAAUUUCACAUUCCAAAAGAGAGGGAAUCUGAUUGGCCCACUUCAGAUGACGGGUUCACCCCCGUGUAAAAAACUGGUGAUGGGAGGGCGUCAUGGUUGCUAAAGGCAACCGUGUCAUGGGAGCAAUUCUCAGGGAGGGGGUCACAGUGAGCUAGAGAGACCACCCGAAAGCAGCCACUAACUACACCAUGAGUUUCAAGGGUUUGGAGACCACCCGAAAGCAGCCGCUAACUACACCAUGAGUUUCAAGGGUUUGGAGACCACCCAAAAGCAGCCACUAACUACACCAUGAGUUUCAAGGGUUUGGAGACCACCCGAAAGCAGCCACUAACUACACCAUGAGUUUCAAGGGUUUGGAGACCACCCGAAAGCAGCCACUAACUACACCAUGAGUUUCAAGGGUUUGGAUAUUUCUGUUACGUUUGUGACCUGUCUCUUUUUUCCCUGCUUCAUUCUGACAGAGCCCAAUUCCAUGUAACACUCUCACUGUAUCCUAAAGCAGAAAGAGGUCCAGUAGUGAGCUGGUAAAUGUUUAACAGCAGGCUCACGGGGGGUGGGGGGGGGGGGCGGGGGGGGCGGGGCAUUGAAAUUACUGAUUUGCAGCAUUUGCUGAUUUACGUGGUGUAAAUAAUCCCACUGUGGUGGGUUUCCAGCUACAUGCAUGGCAUCAUUGAACUUGGAUUUUAGAAGAGAUGCACAAAAUUGACUAGACAGUGUGUAAGCCACCACCAGCACACCACUGACUAUUAUACAUCCUAGCUAAAGUACCAUUAACCCACAAAAUUGGUUGAAUUUAUUAAGAUUCUUUGGCUACAAAGAACAAAACCCAAAUAUAGGUAGAUUAAGCAAAAAGAGAAAUUUAUUAGUAAGAGCCUGGGACAUAUCAUGGAAUCCAGGGAAGAACCGGAUGACCAUGACUUGGGAAGCACCGAUGGCUGCUUUUGGUGACCUCAAAAGCAUCAUUGUCUGGACCUUGUCUUUAGAGUUUCACCAUUUAUGUGACUUGAAUCCUGUUCCCAGUCUCCGACUAGCGAAAUUCCUGAGAGAGAAUCUGAUUGCUCUCAAGUUAGGUGUCCUCGCCUGGUGAAAUCCAGCUCUAACCUGAGGUCAGUGACAUUUAGCAAAAGCAUGACUUCCAGAGGCAAGAUCUGCUUCAUCAUUGGUAAGGUUUGAUGCAAAACGAAAACGUGGGGCUCCUUGUUUAAAAGCUAUUAAGUACUUUGGAGUGACACAACACAGCAUUAAACCAAGUGCAGAGGGCCCUUAUGAGCACAGGGCCCUGUGUGACUGCCCAGGUCACGUGGCGAUGAACCUGGCCCUGGCUGAGGACUCAUGCCUGUGGUCAAAUUGUGACUUCUGUCUUGGGUUCUCUCUUAUAAGGCAACCCAUGGAGAGACCAUAUGGCAAGGGACUGAGGCUUGCCAACCACCACAUGAGUGAGUUUGGAAGCAGAUAACCCCCUUUUCCCUACCUUUACCCGAUCCUGACCAGCUUUCAGAUGACACUGAUGGUAGCCCCAACGUCAUGGGAGACCUGGAUUCAGAGGCACCCAGCUACUCCAUGCCUGGUUCCUGACACACAGAAACUGUGAGAUAAUAAAUGUUUGUUUGUUUUUUUUUAAGUUUUUUAGACUAAUUUGUUACCUGCAAUGAAUAACUUCUAUAGCGUUAUUCAUUACUUCUGACUUAUUGAAAUGUGUUGUAAUUUACACAUAAGCAGUUGAGUCAGUUUAUGGAUUAUAUCACCUAGAUUUAACGAAAUUCACCCUCACAAAAAAAAUGGACUAGCAGUUUAAAAAUAUUCCUGCAAAGAAACUGAAAGUUGAAGUUAAGGCUGAUAAUGCAAACAAAAUGAACCCCGAGAAAAUGCCUCUUUGUCAAAUACAUCUUAAGGAAAAAAUACAGUGAUGACUAAUUAGAUCUUUCAAGGUGGUGACCAAAAAAGUCAAUAUUUCUGAAAUACAGGUGUAUAUCCACUUGAAAUGUUAGCUAAUAAUGGUAGUACAUGUACAAAAUUUAUUCACAAAUAUUCAUCCAUUUGUACAUGUUAAAUAUUUCACUGAUGAGUUGAUGAUUAAAAAGGUUUCGUGACUACUAAGUCCCUGCUUGGACCAGGGCAGGUGGAGAGCACCCGGUCCUCUGUUCUGGGGCCAGCUGGUUGCAGCUGCAUCACUGCAAGGGAAGGCAGUGGUCAGGUGGCCCAGAUGCACCCUGGAGUUAACAGUUUGGAGUGAGAGGACAUUUAAAAUAAUCCAGAGACUGGAAAGCAAUUCAUGGUGAUGAGGAGUAGACUCCCCACAGUCGCACAUGAUGGGGACUCAUUAUCCUCAUUAGGAUGUUAAAAAGAAGAGUGAUUCCAGAAGAUUGGAAAUCCUUGGGAGUACUCAAAUUAUACAUGCAAUGGUUUUUCUUUUAAUCGUAUUGGAGAAAAUGUAACAUCCAUUCAGAAAAAUUAAAAAGUGCACAUGUACAAUGUAUAGUUUAAUAGAUAGUAAUAAAGUGAACCUAUUGUACCUACCACCCAGGUCAAGAAGUAGAAGAUUGCCAGCAGGAGAAGCUCACCAGGUACCCUUUUCUAAUCACAUCUUUCUCCCUCUCCCAUAGAAGAAACUACUGUUCUGAAUUUUAUGAUAAUCCUUCUCUGGCUUUACUUUAUAGUUUUCCCACUGUGACAUGUCAUUGUAAACAAUAUGGUUUGGUUUUACUUGUUUUAAAAUUUUAUAUAAAUGGAAAUCAUGUUGCAUAUAUUAUUUUGUCUUAUGUCUUCUGUUCAACACAGUUUGAGAGUCAUUCGCUUUGCAAAUAGCUGCUUCUAUUUGUAUUAACAGUUGAUCUUCCUUUGUAAGAAUAUCCAAUUUAUUUGUCCAUUCAUUGUUGGUUCAGAUUUGAGUUACUAUAAGCAAUUCUGCCUUAAACAUCCUGGUACAUAUAUCCUCAUACACAUAUAUGAGUUUCUCUAGGGUGUACGUAGUAGUAGAGAACUGAGUUUUAAGUGGAAUAAAUCUUCAACUGUAGUGGAUAACGUCAAGUUGUUUUUCUAAAGCAGUUAAACUAAUUUACACCAUCCCCUCCACAACACUGACUGAGACUUCCCAUUAUUACACAUCUUUGCCAAUAGAUUUUGGCAAAUAAUACUGUCAGAUUUAAAUUCUUGCCAAUCUGAUGAGUGUUAUCUCUUUGUGGUAUCUCCUUCUAUUAUCUCUUUGUGUUAUCUCUAAUGUUAUCUCUUUG
rnacentral:lncRNA from 10 species